rnacentral:lncRNA from 1 species
CGUAGGCUGACAGAGCCUUUUUUUAAUCGAUCAAACUGUCUCAAAGAAUUUCGAUUUCGAAAAUUCCAAGUGAGGUUAGUCGACUGAUCCAUACUCUUAACGCCAGUUCUUGAAUUUUAUGGGAAUGGGAAUGUAGAAACUUGUAAAAAUGGAACCAUGUCUGAAGAACGUUGUCGACAUACAAUAAUUCUCGGUUUUACUUUCUGUUGAUAUAUCUUUGGAAGAAAUACCAACAGAACUUUGAAUUGCGACGAUAAUAUUAAAAAAGAAAAUGAAACUCGUUCAAAUGGAAUGUCUUUAAACAUUUUUGAGAGAAUAUUGUUUGGGGGAAUUGAAGUGAUCAGUUUUAUUAAACAUUUUGAGAAUAUCUUGAGAACAAUCUUGAACAAUCUUGAGAAUAUUUUCAGUCUCUUCAGUUCAUAAUUUUCACGGUUAACAAAUUCGAACGCAUUUAGAACAGAACGUAUUUGGAGUAAAGAGUUUCUUUUUCGUAAUAUUCGAUGCUUGAUUUUUCUCCAGAACACUGACUACUGAAAUGAUAGUUGAAUAAAAUAAUUCGCUGUAAUAAAAUGAGGGGAAACAGCUUGUAUGUCUGUGUGUGUGUGUGUGUAUAAUUUCAUACAAAAAUCGUUAUAAACAAUUGAUAUGAAAAUUGAUAGGAAAUCAUUCCGUAUAUUGGUGUGUUUUACCAAUCGAGGCCCAUGCCCGAUUCGUAAGCGGGACUAUUGGGCGUGAAAAAUUGUCCGUGAUUCAACUUUUUCUCAGUUUUAUGGACUUUUUAUCAAACUAACGUUGUCCUCCAUGCUCGUUUCGGGCUCCUUAAUGAUUUUCUCGAAGGUUCUUUAAAAAUUAUUUUUGGAAUAGGAAUGUCGUUGCUUUUCAUCCACUUUCACUGUUUUUCACGCUGAAUCGUGAAAAACGAUAAAUAAAAAGUUGGAAAAAACGAACGCGAGCAUGGUUCCGUUCCAAGACAGGAAAAAACGGUUUAGAAACGUGCCUGUAUGUGACAAUUGACGAGAUACUCGUUUCGACAACGGUUUCACCAAGAUUCGUCGACUACCUUCUCGACUGGCUCAACUUGCCAAUGGGGCUCAGUCCAGUGGGCAGGGAACCAUACGAAGAUAAUUUGGUUGACUUCGUAACAAGUCUACGCCUUGGAAUAUGAUACCUUUAUCACUAUGGAUAAUCAAUGUGCUUCAACAGAAGAGAAAUGAAUAAUGGCGAAAAUUUUCACAGUGAUUUUCCAUGAUGGAAACUCCUGCGAACAAUGCAACACUUUCAUUUGUCGCAUUCAUUUGUCCAUUUGCAGAAAAGUGUUCAAACUUCAGACUCAAAAAUACUCAUUUUUAAUCCAUUCAUUCAAACGAUCCAGUUAAUCCAUUUAUUCUUCUCGUUUGUUUCAGGACAGAUGACCAAAGAUAAAAAAUAAUAUGUAGAAUGAUUCUAUCGAUGCUUGCCUUGACCCAGUUGAGCUUCCAGAAGAAGGCUACGAGUAAGGUCACCAAGGUGGCCGUUCCUAGGGUCCACCGUAGUCAAUCAUUCCACUCUGCAUUUUCCUCCUUUUUGUCUCUGAAUUCGCCAGUCACCUUCGAUUAGAUCGAAGCAGCGCUUCGCGGGUCUGGCUCAGUUCAGCGACAAUUUGGAAGGGUGUGAACAACAGAUGGGAAGUAAACCGCGGAAAUUUAGGGACGCAAAUGAAGAUAAAGAAGGCCAUUCGACGGUAGACUGAAACACCAACUUGAUUUGAUCGAUUCGAUGGAGGAAACUGUGAGCCGGGCGUAUUUCUUGCAGUUGAAAAAUUCUCGACACAAUAAGGUUUUUACUGAAGAAUAAUGAUCCGGAGCACGUUUUCAUGUAAUGCAGAAUAAAUGAGGCUUCGUCUAAGAGGCAGAAGAAAA